rnacentral:piRNA from 1 species
UCGGUCACACAAACUUCUUUUUCAGUUAGU